UGGGGAAUCUUGGACAAUGGGGGCAACCCUGAUCCAGCCAUGCCGCGUGAGUGAUGAAGGCCUUAGGGUCGUAAAGCUCUUUCGCCUGUGAAGAUAAUGACGGUAGCAGGUAAAGAAACCCCGGCUAACUCCGUGCCAGCAGCCGCGGUAAUACGGAGGGGGUUAGCGUUGUUCGGAAUUACUGGGCGUAAAGCGCACGUAGGCGGACUGGAAAGUUGGGGUGAAAUCCCAGGGCUCAACCCUGGAACUGCCUCCAAAACUAUCAGUCUAGAGUUCGAGAGAGGUGAGUGGAAUUCCGAGUGUAGAGGUGAAAUUCGUAGAUAUUCGGAGGAACACCAGUGGCGAAGGCGGCUCACUGGCUCGAUACUGACGCUGAGGUGCGAAAGUGUGGGGAGCAAACAGGAUUAGAUACCCUGGUAGUCCACACCGUAAACGAUGAAUGCCAGUCGUCGGAUAGCAUGCUAUUCGGUGACACACCUAACGGAUUAAGCAUUCCGCCUGGGGAGUACGGUCGCAAGAUUAAAACUC
rnacentral:rRNA from 1 species